UACAGAGGUCUCGAGCGUUAGGCGGAAUCACUGGGCUUAAAGCGUGUGUAGGUGGAUGCCUAAGUACCUUGUGAAAUCCCACAGCUUAACUGUGGAACUGCUUGGUAUACUGGGUGUCUUGAGUCACUCAGGGGCGAGCGGAACAAAUGGUGGAGCGGUGAAAUGCGUAGAUAUCACUUGGAACGCCAACGGUGAAAACAGCUCGCUGGGGGUAUCCUGACGCUGAGACACGAAAGCCAGGGGAGCAAACGGGG
rnacentral:rRNA from 1 species